UGGGCGUAAGCGCACGCAGGCGGUCUGUCAAGUCGGAUGUGAAAUCCCCGGGCUCAACCUGGGAACUGCAUUCGAAACUGGCAGGCUAGAGUCUUGUAGAGGGGGGUAGAAUUCCAGGUGUAGCGGUGAAAUGCGUAGAGAUCUGGAGGAAUACCGGUGGCGAAGGCGGCCCCCUGGACAAAGACUGACGCUCAGGUGCGAAAGCGUGGGGAGCAAACAGGAUUAGAUACCCUGGUAGUCCACGCCGUAAACGAUGUCGACUUGGAGGUUGUGCCCUUGAGGCGUGGCUUCCGGAGCUAACGCGUUAAGUCGACCGCCUGGGGAGUACGGCCGCAAGGUUAAAACUCAAAUGAAUUGACGGGGGCCCGCACAAGCGGUGGAGCAUGUGGUUUAAUUCGAUGCAACGCGAAGAACCUUACCUACUCUUGACAUCCAGAGAACUUUCCAGAGAUGGAUUGGUGCCUUCGGGAACUCUGAGACAGGUGCUGCAUGGCUGUCGUCAGCUCGUGUUGUGAAAUGUUGGGUUAAGUCCCGCAACGAGCGCAACCCUUAUCCUUUGUUGCCAGCGGUUAGGCCGGGAACUCAAAGGAGACUGCCAGUGAUAAACUGGAGGAAGGUGGGGAUGACG
rnacentral:rRNA from 1 species